rnacentral:tRNA from 4 species
GGAAGCUUGGCAGAGUGGUCGAUUGCACCGGUCUUGAAAACCGGCAAACCGAAAGGUUUCCAGGGUUCGAAUCCCUGAGCUUCCGCCA